GAAAAUUUGUACCAAAAAGACAAAAAAAAAAAAUGGGAAAAUGAAAAAUCUCAACUAUCCUUCUCACAGGACUCAAAAAUCUCUGUUGCUCUUCUCCUCGCUCUUACCUUUCUGCCUCCAUCCACUUUAAUGGCGUCCGCUAGCGCUUUAACUGCUCAGAUUUCGAACUUGCACAGUAUCAAUGACCGGAAAAGCGCUACUAGCGUAUCCUCAAUCUCCUUCUGUUCUGUUUGUGCUAUCUGAUAGAGACAAUUGCAAAUCCAUUUCUUGUGGCUUCUUCUCCUUUUCAGUUUAUUUGGAGGAAAGAAGGAUAAUGAUGAUGGCCAAUCAAAGACAUUUCCAUUUAUCAGUACUCUUCGAACAUGCACAAGUAUUUAAUCAUGAGUUUGAUGGUUACUGUGAAGGUGAACUAAUAAAGGUUACACUUUCUGGAAACCAGCAACCUGUACGCACUGAGAUAACUGAGGCUGCAAUGGAGCUAGGACCAGAAGCGACUCAAGGCGACACCAACAUGGCAACCAAGGCAUCCAUGGCACCCAUCUAGGCGACCAAGGCACCUGGACGUGUAGGCGACGCCUCGACAACUAAAGUUAUAUUUUUUAAGCUCUAUCUUUAUUUCCAGUCAAGUACCAAUGCCUUGGCCAACUACUCCUGCAUGCAACCCUAAUCGGAUUCAGAGCUCUUGAAAUUUCAUAACUGAAGCUCUAGCUCUUAGUUACAGAGGUAUACAAGGAUGCAAACCAGAAGAGGAUAAUCUUAUUGGUUCUGUUUUCUAUGAGGCUAAAGGAUGUAAUUCUGAAGGGAAGGAAGCCCCGCUGUCUACUUGGAGAGUUGACAAGAGUUAGAAAUACGAAGGAUUCUUGAAGGACUACACAAGCAAGACGAUUAAGGAUCAAAGCCACCACCAUCUGGACUAAUGCUGAUGAGGUGCUAAAUUUAUUACAGCAUGAGAGUACAAAACUGGCCGUGGGAGGUGUUUCCUUCUCUAUUCAACUUCAAGAAUUAUCUUUAGGGAGAAGUUCUUCAAAUUGGUAAAAAAGGUUUAGUGUUUUGUUCCUGUUGCCCACCAUCUAACCAGAAAGGCUAGAAAGAACAGUAUUUUGAAUGCCGUAUAAGAUACUAUUCCCUGUAAUCUCCUUAAAUGAAUUUUCUCUUUUCUUAUUAAAAAAAUAAAAUAAAAUUGAAAUCA